AAAAAAAAAAAAAAUCAGAUUACCACCUAGAAAGCAAUGUUAUUAAACCCAGCCUAGAGCUUGACCCAAUGGAAGGAUCUUGUCAAUCAGUCAUUAAUUUAACUAGGGGAUCAUUAAAAAAUUUAUUAAAUAUAUAUAUUAAUUAAAUAUAACACCUACUAAUAUAAAAAAAAAUAUGUUUAAUUAAUUAAUUUUUAGUAUUUAAAAUCAAACUUUCAACAU
rnacentral:misc_RNA from 1 species